rnacentral:rRNA from 1 species
ACGCUCGACACCUACGGGAGCAGCAGUGGGGAAUAUUGCACAAUGGGGGAAACCCUGAUGCAGCGACGCCGCGUGAAGGAAGAAGUAUCUCGGUAUGUAAACUUCUAUCAGCAGGGAAGAAAGUGACGGUACCUGACUAAGAAGCCCCGGCUAACUACGUGUCAGCAGCCGCGGUAAUCUGAGCGGGCUGGCAAGGC